UAUAAGUGAUGGCGACCGGCGCACGGGUGAGUAACACGUAUCCAACCUGCCGAUAACUCGGGGAUAGCCUUUCGAAAGAAAGAUUAAUACCCGAUGGCAUAAUUAGACCGCAUGGUCUUAUUAUUAAAGAAUUUCGGUUAUCGAUGGGGAUGCGUUCCAUUAGUUUGUUGGCGGGGUAACGGCCCACCAAGACUACGAUGGAUAGGGGUUCUGAGAGGAAGGUCCCCCACAUUGGAACUGAGACACGGUCCAA
rnacentral:rRNA from 1 species